CCAUCUGUUCCACGUGUGCAUGUAUGUUCGCGCGUUCGUCUCUUGUCUCUGUACCGACGACGAUGACCGCGAGUCGUGCAGCUUUCGUUUCGACAGCGUAGUCCGUGAACCAGUGUCCCGUAGCGACUUCGUCGUGACUGCCUCAGAGAACGUCUAGUACUGCCUUUGCUUGAUUGACGGACGUCGAGGGCGAAACAGAGCGAAGGUGCUGCAAUGCGCUGCCUUGCCACAACAAGAGCAACACAGUAGGAUGACUAAAGGACGCAACACUUCUGGACGGGAAUUACAUGUUCAAGAAUUGUUUUGAAAUGUACAAGGAAGAUAUUGGCAUUCUCCUUGCGCCAUCAGCUGUUCAACAUCUGCGAGCUGCAAAGGCUCUCCUGUAUGACAAGGAAGCAGUAGACGCGUCAUUCGCAAUGCUCAUUUUAUGUGCUUCCAAGGGAUGCAGCCAAAGGACGACCUGCGGAUGUGCGAGUCACGUUUAUGGGAGCUGCAAAAAAGAAUUAAAGUGUAUCCCCAGUGUUUGCUAUAUACUUUUAUU